rnacentral:lncRNA from 1 species
UCCUUAAUUUUGAAAGAAGGCUUCAACUUGUCACCAAAUGUCUCAGCACUCUACCUAUUUUCUCAGGUUCUUUUUCUAACCUUAGCCCUCUGAUUCCAUGUUUCAUGGUUAAAUUGGACUUUAAGAUCUGACUGAAAAUUCUGCAAGCAUGUCAUAUCACUAGAGUCAACAUAAAAUGUACUGUAUAAAGAGAACAAACAAAUAAUACAUAUUUAAAACACAAAGGAAAAGGAACAAUUCAUUUAGUUGAAAUAAAAGAUAGAAGGGUUUGAACAUAAACGACAAAAGGACAAAACAAGAUAGAUUUUGAACUACAAUCCUGAAAUAAUUCAAAAACCAAAAAUGAAAACAAAAUAAAGUAUCAGACCUCUUCCUAGAAGCGAGAGAGGUGACUUCUCAAUUGCUCAUCCUGACAACUUAGCCACUGGUUUGCAUAUCAGCAUGACUAGAGCUUCCCUCACUGUCAAUGUUCUGCACCAUAAUUGGUCUAUCUUGAAUCAUCUUUUCAAUUUCUCUUUUCAAAUCUCUACAAUCUUCAAUACUAUGACCCUGAGCAUCAGAAUGAUACGUACACCGUACAUUAGGAUCAAAAAUUCUUGAACGCCGAUUAAGAGUACACCCAAAGAGAGAAGUGAUCAUUCACCAUUGUACCAAUCUCUAAAAUAAACUGGCAUACGACUCUCCAAUUGGUGUGAAGCUAUCUCUCAACUUCUACCUCAUUUCAUCGUUUGGCUUAGAUUGAAAAUCAGGCUUAGAAUGGUUUUGGUAUGUUUGUGGAGUUAGAGGAUGACUCUGAGGAGUUGGUGUGUUCCACUGUGGGUAAGAUGGGGUUGAAAAGGUGGCUGUGUGUUAUAUACUGGAUAUGGAGGUGGAGGAGCAGAGUAUAAUGGAUUUUGGGAGUGAUUAUAUGAAGCUUGGGUAUGAACUUGGGUUUGAGCCUGAGAGUGACGACAACGGGGUCUUCUUGACCGUUUCCGCUAUCCAACUACAAUAGAAGAUGCAUCUUCCUCAUUCUUUGUCUCCUCAACACUUCCUGAACCCUUUUGAAUUGCUUGAGUUAUCGCUUUCAAUGUUUCAAAACUCACAAUGCGACCUGUCUUAAUUCCCUUUUCUAUCAUCUCCCCCAUUUUAAGGACCUCAAUAAAUGACUUGCUUAAUGCAGGUAACAAGUGUUGAUAAUAUGUUUCAUCCUGCGCUUGAAUAAAUACCUCUACUAUUUUGCUUUCUUUCAUUGGUGGUUUUACUCUAGCAGCUUGUUUGCGCCAUCUGUUUGCAUACUCCCUGAAACUCCCAGUAUUAUUUUUUUAUACUAGUUAGGAAUUUUUCGUCAGGGAUAAAAUCCACAUUGUAUUGAAAUUGUUGCACAAAUUCAUUAUCUAGCUCAUCACAACUAAUCCACUUGUCAAUGUCUUGGUCAACAAACCAUUCCGAAGCUAGCCCUGAAAGACUCCCCGAAAUAAGCCAUGAGUAGUUCUUCUUUCCCUUCAGCACCUCUGAAUUGGUUACAAUAGCGCCUCAAAUGUGCCUCUGGGUUCCCCAUGUCCAUCAUAUUUCUCAAACUUUGGCAUUUUAAAACCAGGAGGAAAGUUGACACCUAGAAACAUGCAUAAGUCCUUAUAUGAGAUUUGUAACCCCCAAGUCCUUGCAAGUUCUUCAUAUCCAGUUCCAAACUUUUCAAGUUUCUGGUCAUUUCCUCUUGUUCUUCUGUCAUAACAGGCUUCUCAGUGUUAGGAGAAAAUUCAGGCGGGUGAGUGUCAUCGUAAAGACCAGUCAACUUGAAUGUAGUCUUAGAAGUGUAACGCUGAUCACCAAUAAUAUCCAAUGUAGACUCUCUUAUAAAGUAGAGAGGCACAACUUGUGGAUGAACAUAAAAAAUAGGAGCUUCAGGUGGGGUAGCACCGCAAAAGCAUGAACAGCAGGUGGAGUCGAGUAUGUGGUAGUCUUGGAUUGGGGAGUGAGGAAAUGAACAUUGGAAGUGGUUGGAUAUUGUUGCCCUGGAUUCGAUCCUGAUGUAUGUUAUGACAUAUCAACAAAAAUAGGAAAUUGUGCAUGUGACACGGGAGGCAAGCUAGAAAGAUAUUCCAAAUUAUCAGUGAGAACCAAAGGAGGCGGCAACCUAUUAGCCCAAACACGAUGCAUUUCUAUCAUUUACUGCCUUAAUUUCUGAAUCUCUUCAUUAGCUCCUAAAUUCUUAUUUCCCGACCUCCCUGUCUGAUUAGUGACAACAAACUCGGUAUCCUUGUUGGCCAUAACUUUCUCUAUGACUUGGUGCAAUAUGAAGAACCAGCCAAAAUAACACAAACCAACCACCUUAAACUAAUUGGAUAAGAGAUAGCAAAUGCGUUAGAGUUCAAUAAUUUUUCAAAACCUCUUUUUUUUAAAAGAUCACCGAACCCAAGAAGGGCACAUACGUAUCUCGCCCCCGAGAGGGGAGAAUCAGGUGUGCGUAGUUUGUAAAGUCUUGCCAAAAUGGACAAUUAAACUCGUUUUCUUUUUUUUUCUUGAAACUUUAAGAACAAAACAGAAUAAUAAAUUGUCAAAAGAAUUGACGAGAAAUCUUUUUUUUUGCGUUUUUCAGUUUUAACAUCCCUAUACAAUCUGAAACCUACUAUUACCCAAGAAUUAUUUUUUUUUGAGUUUUAAAUUUUGAAUUUAAUAUGAAAAUGAAACUUGAACCUAUUAAAGGAAUUUUUUUUUUUGUGAUUUUCGUUUAAAGAUAUAUAUGAAACACCUAUUCUAAAUGAAGAGUGAAGAAAAUCUUUUAUGAUUUUUUUUCAUAUUCCUAUACAAAAUGAAACCUAUGAUUAACAAAGAAAAUCUUUUGGGGUUUUCAAUUUUGAAUUUCAAAUGAAAAUUGAAACUAUUAAAGAAAAUUUUUUUUGCAGCUUUCUUUUAAAGAAGUAUAUGAAACACUUACUCUAAAUAAAGAGUGAACAAAAUCUUUUUGAAUUUUUCAAAUAAGAUCCCCGAACCAGCAAUAGGCUGCCUACAUAUCUCACUCCCGAAAGAGGAGAAUCAAGGGUGUGUAAUUCUUCCAAAUUGGACAAUUAAGGAUUAUAGAACAAACAAAACCUUGACUUGAGAGACACGACUACGGACAGACGAUGAACAAUAUCAAUAAAAUCUUUUUUGGGAUUUUUAAUUAAAAACUAACACCAACAACUAUGAAAGUAAAAAAAAAACUUUUUGAUAUUUUCAUUAUAUAAAUAUGUACAAAGCUCCUAUUGAAAGAAAAAAAAUAUUUUGGAAUUUUCAAAUUGUGAACGCUUACUAAAGAAAUAAAAAGAAAAUCUUUUUGACGUUUUUUUUUUUGAGAAAAUGAGUGCAAAAAGUAAAAAUCUUUUUGAAUUUUUGAAUUUUGGAAAACAAAAUCCAUAAAGAACCCCAAAAACUAUGACCCUCUUCUUUUGACUCACUUUUUUUUUUCCAACACUGUCUUGUCUAUACACUUUAUUCUAACACACACUUUCCCUAAAUCAGUCCAUCAAAUGACCACGUUACCUUCAGAGAUGCAAUAUUUAGCACGUAGGGACGCUUUAGAGGUGAGUCUCCUACAAAGGACCAAGUGGACCCAGCUAGGCCUCAAUACGAUGCACAUAGCAUGACCUAAAGGCUGACCUACGUUUGAGUUCACUAACACGGCUGUUCGGGGAGCGUAUGAUCGAUAGUGGAUUGCUUUAGCUGUCCACCUACUCCAUACAACCCAACGGCUCCUCCUCUUAAAAUGAGGGUGACUCAACUAUAAGUCAUGUACACACGUGUACUAUGGACUUGUUGCAGAAAGAAAGACUCGGGUUAUGCACAUGAUACCAGAUAUAAGGCGGUAAUACAUAAAGUAAAAUUGUAAACAAAGAACAUGUAGGCACUCAACAAUGAUAAACAAUAACACAAAACAACACAAACAAAAUGUCUAUACACCUAUAGUGCCAAACUAAGCCGAUACAACUCCAAAAUAAGCUCGAAUUUUGAAAAAUCCCCAGCAGAGUCACCAGAGCUGUCACACCCCUUUUUUAACUCCAAAAAGAUUAUUUUUAAGUUCGAAAGGGGUUUUAUUGUUAAAGUGACAAAAGAUUGAAAAUUGUUUCGAAAAGGAUUCAUUUUACAAUUAAUCUCAGAGUUGCCACUUGGCAUAAAUCGGGUGUGCCAAGUCACCCUUGGAUAUCCUUUUUCAAAAUAGUUUGACUCUCUUAAACUGGUUUGCGAACAGAGUUCCGGCUUAGGAAUUCUGUUGAUCGAGGGGAAGGUGUUAGGCACCCCUCGAUCCCUUGAUUCGAGCAUGGUCGCUUAGUGGAGUAUAUAAGCUAAUUUGACAUCACAAAUGUAUAAACCACACAAAGCACGUAAAACAAUCAAUCAAACACACGAAACAAACAAAUCCAAAAUAUAAUGUUCAAUCCAAUUAUACAGUCCAAAAUAACUAAUAAAAAAAAUGCAAAAAAUAAAUCCUAUUCUAUCCUACACUAAUUCUAACAUGCUUCAGUGCUUUACCCAAUGCCUCGGGCCUUCAUCACGAACGUCCUCCGGAUACAAAAUACUUCAGGACAUUCCCCGGUGAAUAAACACAAGUACCUUGGAGCAUUCCUCGGCCAAAUGAAUACACUUCCAAAUAUGACAAAAACAAAACAUUCAACGAACAUUUUCAUCAUUCAAAAAUCAAAAGUCCUAAUUUUGCCUACCCGAGCCUACCGUUUGCCUACCCAACAUGACCUAUCAUGGUACUAUCAUAAUCAGGAACAUCAACGAACCAAAACAACAAUAUUUCAACUUAUUCGAUUAUCAAUUCCCCCAAAUCAUUCCCAAUCACAUUAUUAAUCAAUGUUAACGAAAAUCAAGCAAGCAAAGUUAUAAUCACAACAAUUAAAAUUUCUCAAACACACUAUCAAAAUAUAUCACCAAUCCAACAUGAAUCAUGCAAUCCAUAACAUCAAAACAUCAACUCCAUAAUAAAAUAGUAAUAGAAAGAGAUAGAGUUGAAAAUUUAGACCUCAAAUUUGACGUUUUAUUUCAAUGGAAUUGCUCGACGAAGCGGCACUGGAAUACCUCGAUUUGAACCUCAAAUAUAAACCCCAACUCGAAAUAGAUUUCAACGAGCUUGGAUGGAAUCGAAAGUAAAAUCGGGGUUUGCUUAACUGCUCUCUAUAGUUGUAGCUCCGGCGAGCUUCGAUUACUGAAAACGAAGAAGGAAUACGGCUGUGACGUGUUUUCUGGUGAAUCCGUCGCUGGGACAGUAACCAAACCAUGAAAAAUUAUGUUCCCUUAGCUCCGUGUUACUCUCUUCUCUCUCGAUCUCAACUCUCUUUUCUCGAUCUCCCUGUUUUGGUCCCAAAUUUUCCUUCUAUCAGUCCUUAAUUCUCUAUUUUUUUAUGAACCUUUCGAUCUCUCCGGCCAACCAACUUGAUCUCUCCUCUCACGUCAUCCUCCUGUCAGCUCUCUCUCUCUAUUUGUGUAUUGUGCGAGUAUGGUUGAGUGAUGAUGAAAAAUGGAGGAGGGUGCAUGUAUGACUGUUGCGUGAGAAUGAGUAUCAAUUGUUCUCUGUUUUGUGGUGUAUAUAUUUCUGUGUGUGUUGAGUGAUCUUGAAGAAGACAAAGGGAAAGCAAUGGCGUGUGUUUAUUCUAUUUUUGGUGAGGAUCUAUGGAAUUGUGAGUAUGUGUGUGAAUCGUGAGUGAAGGUCCCCCUUUUUUUUGUCUAGUGAUGGUGUAUAUGUGAAUGAUGUUUUAUUUUUUUUUUGGAGAGCAAAAGCAUUUUCCAGUGGGUUCUCUUUUUUCUUUUGUGUCCAGGUGUCUUUUUUUUGGUUUGGAAAUUAUCCAUGUAUCUAUAUUGUAUUCCCUGUGCGCCGCCAUUUUGUUAUGGAAAAGGAAUAAAAUGUGGGGGGUGGAAUAGGUUG